rnacentral:pre_miRNA from 1 species
CCGGAAUGAGUAUUAUAUCAGGUACUGGUGUGAUAUAAAAAGCCGUACCAUGGGUAUCCGGUCCGGUCAACUAUCAGUACUUGUGUUAUACUCUCUUCGU